UUUAUUUAUUCAUUCGAGGCUUUUCAUUUGAACGUUGAACUUCCGGCUGUUACGCUCGUUUGUGUCGGUAUUCACACCGUUUGUUUUCGCUUCUUCUGACGUUGCCAGUUAGCUAGCUGAUCAAAAUCAGCAUAGUAGUCAAGAAAACUUGAUUAGAAAAUCAGCAAAUUCUUCAAUUUAUUUUAGCUUUGAUAUUCGAUAGUUAUAUAGUUUUUGUAGGUACGCUAAGAUUUCGGGGUAAAUUAAUUAAAAGCAAACAAACAAACCCAGGCUGGGUCGCUCACCUCCCUCACCAUCAUGGCGAGCCUUCUAGGGUUUCAGACUCAGAUCGCUUCAGUUAUGGAGGUGUUCGCUAACGCCGCAGUGGCCGAGAUCUGUAAACUUGUUGAAGUUAGUUACAAUGAAUUACAAACAGAAAUACUGAAAAGUCAGAAGGAGAAUAAUAUACUAAAACGAAGGUUGAAACUGAUCGAAGUCCGGGAGUCGUUUUAUAAAAGAGCCCACAAGCUGAAAGGAACACACAGAUCGGACGGACUGAAGGACGGAUGUAAAGGGUCGGGGCGAAUGGUUCAUGUAAAGAUCAGUUCAUCUAGCAGUGAGCGUUCCACUGAAGAUAUGGAGUCUUCCAAAGUGCAGAAGCAGUGUUUGAUUGAGAAUAUUGAAGACGGAGAGCCUGAUGUUCUCAUUAUUAAGGAAGAGAUGAUGGACAACAUGAGGAGCAAAGAAUUGGACCUAGAACUGAGCCUGGGAGUGGAACAGGAGAGACAUUACACAGGUACUGAGAAUAGAAACAAGUCCCUGGAGCAGAACAAUCAGCUCUGUCAACAAGAGGUCAGUAGUUGUUUGUUUUAGCAGAAUCUGACACUUAACUUCAUCGUAUCAUUUUUAAAAGU
ensembl:lncRNA